rnacentral:rRNA from 1 species
AUACGGAAGGUCCGGGCGUUAUCCGGAUUUAUUGGGUUUAAAGGGAGCGCAGGCGGAGAUGCAAGCGUGACGUCAAAUUUCGGGGCUCAACCCCGUCUCGCGUCGCGAACUGCGUCCCUUGGUUGCGGGAAGGGGAGGCGGAACUCGUGGUGUAGCGGGGAAAUGCAUAGAUAUCACGAAGAACUCCGAUCGCGAAGGCAGCCUUCCGGCCCGUCAACGACGCUCAUGCUCGAAGGUGCGGGUAUCAAACAGGAUUAGAUACCCUGGUAGUCCGCACAGUAAACGAUGGACACCCGCGGUUUGGCCUAUAUGGCUGAGCCGCCAAGCGAAAGCGUUAAGUGUCCCACCUGGGGAGUACGCCGGCAACGGUGAAACUCAAAUGAAUUGACGGGG